UACGUAGGCAGCAAGCGUUGUUCGGAAUUACUGGGCGUAAAGAGUGUGUAGGCGGUGCUCUAAGUUCGGGGUGAAAUCUCCCGGCUCAACUGGGAGGGUGCGCCGGAAACUGGAAUGCUUGAGCGUGGGAGAGGAAAGCGGAAUUCCUGGUGUAGCAGUGAAAUGCGUAGAUAUCAGGAGGAACACCUGCGGUGUAGACGGCUUUCUGGACCAUUGCUGACGCUGAGACACGAAAGCGUGGGUAGCAAACAGG
rnacentral:rRNA from 1 species